GGUUUUGUGGUCUAGUGGUAUAAUUCUCACUUAAGGUCCAUCAUACAGCAGCAACGCAUGCGAGAGGUCCUGGGUUCAAUCCCAGGCAAAACCC